UGGGGAAUAUUGCACAAUGGGCGGAAGCCUGAUGCAGCGACGCCGCGUGAGGGAUGACGGCCUUCGGGUUGUAAACCUCUUUCAGUAGGGACGAAGCGUAAGUGACGGUACCUGCAGAAGAAGCACCGGCUAACUACGUGCCAGCAGCCGCGGUAAUACGUAUGUCACGAGCGUUAUCCGGAUUUAUUGGGCGUAAAGCGCGUCUAGGUGGUUAUGUAAGUCUGAUGUGAAAAUGCAGGGCUCAACUCUGUAUUGCGUUGGAAACUGUAUAACUAGAGUACUGGAGAGGUAAGCGGAACUACAAGUGUAGAGGUGAAAUUCGUAGAUAUUUGUAGGAAUGCCGAUGGGGAAGCCAGCUUACUGGACAGAUACUGACGCUGAAGCGCGAAAGCGUGGGUAGCAAACAGG
rnacentral:rRNA from 1 species